GGUGAUUCAUCUAUCUCAAAGAAAACCUAAGAGAGUCACAAAUGGAGACCUUGAGGAUUCCACGGUUAUAUCUCCGGUGAAUCUUUGCCGCAAUAAUGAAAAUGGUGGAUUUCUCUGCAUCUCCACUGGCUUUCUGAUUCUUCUCUACUGCUAUUCUCGAUUCGAGCACACCACUUCAUUUCUAUCGCCUGCAGCAGAUGGGAAUUAAGAGGAGGUGUGAAGUCAACGGUGUGAGAGAUAGAGAGAAGACGUCAUUGGACCGAAAAAGAAAAAAAAUGAAAUGGGGCGUAUCACUUGACACGUGUCAGCUCCUUGACGCACGAAGAACACGAAGGAAAACGUAUCGAUUGAUUAGGGUUCCGUAUAUGCUUGUGGUUGAUGGGCCGCAGAAGAAGCGUGUAACGAAGCCCACUGCAAAGGUUUAAUGAAACGGUGCGGAUCCGACGUGUCUACACCAUAGAGCUCCUAUUUCCACCCUGUCAUCCGACGUGUCCUCACAUGAGAGAAACAAUCUCUUCUUUAUAUAUAAAGAUAUACCAGAUUUUGAGAUGUAUUUAAAAAAAAUACGAUGCUAUUUGUUUUUUAUGUCACUAUUUAAAGUUGAGCAAAAAACUUGAAUUCGAAGAA